AAAAAGCUAGGGCUCCGGCUCAAAUGGUAUCGAAUCUUUUAAAUGUGAAGCUAUUGAUGAUUCAAGAGCAAGUGGACACACGUGUCAUUCUCGUUGGCUGUUCAGUCUGCGGAUCGGACUUUGACCUAAUUGUUUUCACAGAAAGUGAAUGGGGCCUGCUCCAGCAAUGGCGACUGUUGUUAAAAUGGUUUCAAUUUUCGAAAGGUGCUGUAGAUUCAGUGGGGGUGGUAGUGGUGGGAGUUGGUUACGUCCAUGGGAUGUACUAGAGUGAGUGUUCGAGGUAGAAUAGUUAACGCUGUUUCCCAUUGCAAUUCCAAUAUAAUUUUCCCAGUCAGGUGUAAUUCCAGAUAAGUCGCGAUAAUUCAAUCUUCGAAAAUGUCAUUUAGAUUUGAUGAUUUUGAUUUUUCGAAACCUGGGGUAAUAAAAUAUAAAUGAAUUCCACGCAAUUUUGUAAAUUUCAAUGAACGGCUACGAAAAACUCGGAACAAAUUCUGAAAAUCUUCAAACUCUUGUUAAUUGUGAUACGCAAUAUAGAACGAAACGAUAAUCUCUUAAUCUAUUGCUUACAAAGUAGCAAGAUCUUUUGCAACAAUGAAGGCAGAAUAAAGUACAAGCAUAUCAGCUUAACCCUUAACUGUUUACGCACACACCAAUUUAAGUAAUUUCAUUACGUCGCAUGCUGGGUUGGUUGCCGGACGUAUGGCGGUCAGUUUUUGCUAGAAGUAGAAAUGGACCCUCGAUACUAAUUAUGUACUUUUUGUUAAUUUGUAUUAAUAAAUAUUAUUUAUUUGAAAGAAAAAUGUCACGAAAUCUAAAUGUUCAAGCAAUACGUUUUGCUUUUAAGAGUUAUAAUCACCUGGCAGGAGUGAAUUAUGCGACGAGAAAUUUAGUUGCUCGGAAGGUAGUGUAAUUAUUCAUGAAGAUGGCUCCUCAAGUAUAAUUAGCUUUGGAAAAGAGGGAAAUUACCUUACAAUGGGCACUGGGUAUUUUAGAGAUGAGAAUCGUUUCAAAUGCUUUUGUUUUGUGAAAAGCCUUUAAUUUAGAAAAGCUUAUGAAUAAUUUGCUGAUACCAUUUGUUCACGAAAUUCAGAUUGAAUGCUCGGUCAUUUUUCACUGGAUUGAAAAUUUUUUAGAGCACGCGAAACAUGCUGAAACCUCUAAAAGAGAUCAAACACCGAAAAUAGAUCAAAAGCAAUUUCCACAAUGUUCAAAAUGUUGCAAUUAUAUCGUGUAAGAGUCAUUUAGUAAAGACGGUAUUGUGUUCUAAAUAACAAAUAUAAUUUGGUUUUAAGAAUGCUCCAAGGAACUCGCUUUGUUUUCGAUUAUAUUUUGAAGUUACGUUUAGCUGGUAAUUUUUAUUAAUUGUAAAACAAAACCUUAUUAAAAUCGGUUAAAUGUCUGUCACAAGGAUUUUUCUCAGAAACGGCUAUACGGAUUGACACGAAAUUUGAUGGGAAGGUAGGAACAGUUUAAGGAGGUUCCUCAUACAUACAAAAUGGGGGUAUAAAUUUGUUGGAAAGGCGAGGAGUGCGAGGGGUCGAAAGUUAUGAUUUCUUGAACGGACCCAUUCUCAGAAACUACCCCAGUGAAAAAUCUGAAGCAAAUCACGAAGCUGCUUCUAUACGGUGUACAAGCGUCAAAAUACCCUCCUUAUCAAUAUUUGCUCAAAUUAAGUUAAUAAUAGUAUAUUACUGUUUUUGGAAAAUUGAUAAGAAACCUCUCAUAAGUUUAUCCUAAAGCCAUACGAAUUUGCAGUAAUAUGAAGUUUGAUCAAAAUCGAAAUUACAGUUGUCUUUUCCGUGUAAAUUUAUUGAAACCCAAAGUUAGUAAUCUGACAUACUAAACAGAUAGUUCUGCACUCAAAUAUACUCAAACAAGAAACAAACAAAACCUUUCAUAUCUGGAGCGCCGGUUUCCCGACUUAUUUUCAUAUUUCAUUGAUUUCAAAAAAAGAUUAUUUAAGUAUAGAGCAAAAUGAAGCCGAAAAAGGUGUUUACCUUUGUUUUUCUUUACUUUUUCAUUUUUGUUUAAAUGUUUGAACUACAAACUGGAAAAAAAAUAAUUAAAUCAAAUUCAGUUAAUAAUUGAAUUGAGCAACAAUCUUUGUAUUAAACACUAUUGAUUUGCUUUUUUCGAUUGGAUUCAUAUGGGUCCAUCGGUACAAACAAUGUAAUCAUAAUUAUCGACACGAAAUUAAGGGUUAUCGCGAUUAAUGCGCUCCUGAAAAAUUCCCAUAAAGUUCUAUUCGUAUAGUGUAGAUGUACUAUUUAGAGCUGAAUUUCAGGAAUUCUAAAACGUGUAUGACGAUUCAUGAAUACCACAACUAAGUGAGCUCACAUGAAUGGGAGGUCGUAGGGAAACAUUUCAUUUUAGUUUGUUAAUCAAUAUCAAUUACUUGAGACGGACAUAUAUAUGUAUUUAUCUGUAUAU
rnacentral:lncRNA from 1 species